AAGACCUUUAAACACAGUCCCGUGAGGCUGUAAAGGAACACGGAUAAAGUACGAUAAGUAUGUCCAAAUCCUUAUACUCCCACGGAGAAUAAGGAUUUUUUUA
rfam:Gracilibacillus kekensis strain CGMCC 1.10681 genome assembly, contig: Ga0079828_104